rnacentral:lncRNA from 10 species
AGGAAAGGGGCCAGCUUCUGUGACGACUGCUGCAGAGGCAGGUGCAGUUUGUGUGCCACAGAUAUUAACUUUGAUAAGCACUUAAUGAGUGCCUUCUCUGUGCGAGAAUGGGGAGGAACAAAAUGCAGCUCCUACCCUCCUCGGGCUUUAGUUGUACCUUAAUAACAGGAAUUUUCAUCUGCCUGGCUCCUUUCCUCAAAGAACAAAGAAGACUUUGCUUCAUUAAAGUGUCUGAGAAGGAAGGUUUGAACAGGAUCCCUCUGGCUGGUGUGUGAAGAAUUAACUGUAGAUGGGCAAGUGUGGAAGGAAGGAGAGCAGUCAGGAAGCUGCCAUAACCAUCUACAUGAGAGAGAAUCGUGUAACAGACACUACUCAAUAUCGAUCUCAACUGAUCCAGUUCUCCAGUCUCCCUGGAAAACAAUGGAUUGAUGCCCAGGGUGCGCUGAACACUGGAACCAUGGUCACUUCUGCACUUCACACGAUUCUGCUCCCACCAGUUGAGCUACCAACAGUUCCUGGUGCUUUUGCUUCCCAAACAUGUUUAUGCCAUUUGUUGCUUAUUACUGUACUUACUUAAUUUGAUUAAAUAUUAAGUAAAAUGA